GCCGGGCGAGGUGGCGGGCGCCUGUAGUCCCAGCUACUCGGGAGGCUGAGGCAGGAGAAUGGCAUGAACCCGGGAGGCAGAGCUUGCAGUGAGCCAAGAUCAUGCCACUGCACUCCAGCCUGGGCGGCAGAGCAAGACUCUGUCUCAAAAAAAAAAAAAAAAAAGAAAGUCUCGCUCUGUUGCCCAGGCUGGAGUGCAGUGGCGUGACCUUAGCUCACUGAAACCUUUGCCUCCCAGGUUCAAGCAAUUCUCCUGGCUCAG
rnacentral:sRNA from 1 species